UCCCUCCCGGGCGCCGGGUCGCUAGCUCCGCUAGGCCCAAGCUGGCGGCCGGCGGGAAUCGCGUCGGCGGUGGCGGCGGCGGCGGCGGCGGUGGCGGCGGCAGCAGAGGCGGGGGUGGCGCGGGCCGUGGGCCGGGCUCGGGCGCCUGGUGUUAGGAGACAAGAUGGCGGCGGCGCUGUGGAGGCCGGUCUCCUCCUCCCCGUCACCCUCCUCCGCCCCGCCGAUCGCCGCCUCCUCCUCCUCCUCCGUCUCCUCCUCCCGGCUCUCUGCCUCCUCCUCCUCCUCCUGCAACAGCACUAGCGGCCGCCGCGGCGCCGGCCCGCUCUCCCGGAGCUCCGGAGGAUAGACGGGGCAGCUGCGGGCUCCCGCGACCAGGCCGAGCUGGGGCCGGGGCGGGGACGGCGGCGGCGGCGGCGGCGGCGGCGCCGGGUGGGGAUGGGGUCGCAGACGCUGCAGAUCCUCCGGCAGGGGGUGUGGGCCACGCUCAGCGGGGGCUGGUAUUACGACCCGCACCAGGCCACCUUCGUGAACGCGCUGCACCUCUACCUGUGGCUCUUUCUGCUUGGCCUGCCCUUCACCCUCUACAUGGCCCUUCCUUCUUCCAUGAUUAUAGUAGCAGUUUAUUGUCCUGUGGUAGCUGCUGUUUUCAUUGUUCUGAAGAUGGUCAACUAUCGACUACACAGAGCACUUGAUGCUGGAGAAGUCGUAGAUAGGAGCACAAAUGAAUUUACAGAUCAGCGAGCCAAAGCUGAACAAGGCAACUGUUCAACCAGGAGAAAAGACAGCAAUGGACCAAGGUAAGGAAAGCUCUGUCACUCAUUUUGUAACAAUAUAGAUUGUGGUGUGUGUAUAAAGGUAUGAUUAUUGGGUUGUACCUAUUCUCUUUAUAUCAUUUUAAGACAACAUUAGAUCUUAGGACCAUAGGUACAAUGACAAGUACAGAUUUAUAAUAUUAGAACAGAGCAAAGCUAACUGUCAUGCUUCGGGGAGUAAGUUGAUAUCCUUGGCCUCGUUAUUAAACAAGUUAGAACAAUAUGCUAUUGUAUAAUAGUUACACAAAAAACCAAAACCUAGCCUAAAGAAAUAAUUAAGUAUGGCUUAUAAAUCUCAGCAUUUAAAAAAUUUACACAUAUAAAGU
rnacentral:lncRNA from 1 species